GAAGGUAUAGCUCAACUGUUAGACUGCAUGCUCAAUGUGCAUGAGGUCCUGGGUUCAAUCCCUAGUAUCUCCU
rnacentral:tRNA from 1 species